rnacentral:rRNA from 1 species
GUCCCUACGGGGCGCAGCAGUGAGGAAUAUUGGUCAAUGGGCGGAAGCCUGAACCAGCCAAGUCGCGUGAGGGAAUAAGGCCCUACGGGUCGUAAACCUCUUUUGCCGGGGAGCAAGGGCCGGGACGCGUCCCGGCCCGGAGAGUACCCGGAGAAAAAGCAUCGGCUAACUCCGUGCCAGCAGCCGCGGUAAUACGGAGGAUGCGAGCGUUAUCCGGAUUUACUGGGUGUAAAGGGAGCGUAGACGGCGCGGCAAGUCUGAAGUGAAAGGCAGGGGCUUAACCCCUGAACUGCUUUGGAAA